rnacentral:rRNA from 1 species
UAACCUGCUAAAUAGCCCGUACUGCUCUGGCAGUUCGCCGGCUUCUUAGAGGGACUAUCGGCUCAAGCCGAUGGAAGUUUGAGGCAAUAACAGGUCUGUGAUGCCCUUAGAUGUCCUGGGCCGCACGCGCGUUACACUGACAGAGCCAGCGAGUAUUUCCUUGGCCGGAAGGCCCGGGUAAUCUUGUUAAACUCUGUCGUGCUGGGGAUAGAGCAUUGCAAUUAUUGCUCUUCAACGAGGAAUCCCUAGUAAGCGCAAGUCAUCAGCUUGCGUUGAUUACGUCCCUGCCCUUUGUACACACCGCCCGUCGCU